CUUCAACAAGUAGGUCGAGAGCAACGGGCAGAACACAGUUUAAAAUCUUGAAUCAAGCUAAAACUGUUUUAAGCUAACGCAAACGGUAUUGAACUACAUAAGCAUACAUACGUAUCAAUAUUUGUUUGUUUUUUUAAUUUUUUUUUUUUGUGAUAGUGCAAUAAUUAAGUAUAUGCUACAAAUGAAUAUAUGUAUUUUAAAAGAAAAAGCGCACACAACAAUUAAAUUGGCUGAAAAGCUUUACGAAUACUUUUGAAACUUUCUAAAAGUGAUUUAUUGAAGGAAUAUUUAUUGAAAUGGAAGGAGAAUCGACAGAAUCAACACAUAAUACCAAGGUGUCCGAUUCGGCAUACUCCAACAGCUGCAGCAACAGUCAGUCACAGCGCAGUGGCAGCUCGAAGUCGCGUUUAAGUGGCAGCCACUCAUCCGGCAGCAGUGGCUAUGGCGGCAAGCCCUCGACUCAGGCCAGCAGCAGCGAUAUGAUCAUCAAGCGGAAUAAGGAGAAAACGCGUAAGAAGAAGAAGGCGAAAUGCACGAUCCAAACAACGACGGUCACGUCGCUGGAGAACAAAGAUGAGCAGUUGCAGCCAAAGCCCGGAAGUUCGGUUGGCUGUGAGCAGCUGCAGGAGUUGCAGGAAACGCAACAGCUGUGCGAGCCGCCGGCAAGCGAUCAGCAACAGCUGAGCGAACAGCUGCUCACUGUGGAUGACAGCGAGGCGACUAAACAGCAAAUCGAUCAGGUCCAACAGCUGCCCACGGCUGUGCCCCUCUCCUCCAGCUGUAGCCUGCAGCCGGGCAAUAUUCCAGUUGCAUCGAGCCAUGGCCAAAUCAGCGGCAGCAGCGGCUGCGUCAAGUCGGACAAGGCAUACGAAUCGUUGCCGAGUAAACUGGAAUCGAUGGCAGCUGGCGUGGGCAAGCAGCAGAUCCAGGAGCGGACUAAGGAGGACAGCUUCUGUUGUGUCAUCUCUAUGCACGAUGGCGUUGUUCUGUAUACCACGCCCAGCAUUACGGACGUCUUGGGCUUUCCACGUGACAUGUGGCUAGGUCGUUCGUUUAUUGAUUUUGUACAUCUGAAGGAUCGGGCGACAUUUGCCAGUCAAAUUACGACAGGCAUACCCAUCGCCGAGUCACGUGGCUGCAUGCCAAAGGAUGCGAGAAGCACUUUUUGUGUCAUGCUGCGACGUUAUCGGGGCCUCACCUCGGGUGGCUUCGGUGUGAUUGGGCGGGCUGUCAACUAUGAGCCUUUCCGUUUGGGUUUGACAUUUAGGGAAGCGCCGGAGGAGGCCCGACCGGACAACUAUAUGGUAUCCAAUGGCGCCAAUAUGCUGCUCGUUAUCUCAGCGACGCCCAUCAAGAGCAGCUAUAAGAUUCCCGAUGAGAUUCUCUCGCCGAAGAGCCCCAAGUUCGCCAUUCGACACACGGCGACGGCGAUCAUCUCCCAUGUGGAUAGCGCUUCGGUCAGUGCACUCGGCUAUUUGCCACAGGAUCUAAUUGGUCGUUCAAUUAUGGAUUUCUAUCAUCACGAGGAUUUGGCGGUCAUGAAGGAUACCUACGAGAAGGUCAUGAAGAAGGGACAAACCGCUGGCUCUUCAUUCUGCAGCAAACCCUAUCGUUUCCUCAUCCAAAACGGUUGCUAUGUUCUCCUCGAAACGGAAUGGACUAGCUUCGUUAAUCCCUGGUCGCGCAAACUGGAAUUCGUUGUGGGACAUCAUCGUGUCUUUCAGGGUCCCAAGCAGUGCAAUGUAUUUGAGAUGGCGCCAACUGUGAAGCCAAAGAUAUCGGAGGAUGCACAAAAUCGGAAUGCGCGCAUCAAGGAGGAUAUUGUUAAGCUGCUGGCAGAGACGGUAUCACGUCCAUCGGAUACCGUUAAGCAGGAGGUGUCGCGUCGCUGCCAGGCGUUGGCCAGCUUCAUGGAAACGCUGAUGGAUGAGGUGACGCGGGCUGAUCUCAAGCUGGAGCUGCCCCAUGAGAACGAGUUGACCGUGUCGGAGCGUGAUAGCGUGAUGCUGGGCGAAAUAUCGCCGCAUCACGACUACUAUGACAGUAAGAGAUCAACUGAGACGCCGCCCACCUACAAUCGGCUUAACUAUAACGAGAACCUGCUGCGUUUUUUUAACAGCAAGCCUGUCACCGCGCCCGUGGAACUCGAUCCGCCCAAAGUGGAAUCAUCCUAUGUGAGUAGCGCCCGGGAAGACGCACGCAGCACUCUGAGUCCCGUACACGGAUUCGAGGGUAGCGGCGGCAGUGGAUCAUCUGGAAAUUUUACAACCGGCAGCAAUGUCCGGAUGAGCAGUGUAACAAACACUAGCAAUGCCGGCACCGGCACCUCGGCCGGUGACAAUUCCGCCGGCGGCAAUGGCAGCGGCAAUAGCAACAGCGCCCCGGCCGUCACGGUUACCCUAACUGAAUCGCUGCUGAACAAGCACAACGAUGAAAUGGAGAAGUUCAUGUUGAAGAAACAUCGCGAACUGCGCGGACGCAACGGCGAGAAGAGCAAGAAAUCGGCUAACGAAAAGAUGUUCGAGUACACGGGACCAGGACACGGGCACGGCAUGAAACGCGGCGGUUCUCAUUCGUGGGAGGGCGAGGCCAACAAGCCCAAACAGCAGCUAACGCUCCCAACCAAUGUGGGUGUUGGCGUCAGCGUCGGUGUCGGCGUGGGCGUGCCCGUGCAAGAUACGCUCUCCAAAUGGCAGACACCGAACGCGCCCAACAAUCAGUUCGUUCCGGGCAGCUUGAAUUGCGCACAGAACAUCAAUUUGUGGCCGCCCUUCUCGCUGGGCAUUACAACGCCCUCGGGGCACAGGAGCCACACGGCUGUGGCCCAGCGCAGCUUUUCGCCGCAGCAUAGUCUCUUUCCCGCCUUCUACUAUAUACCGGCACCGUUGGCCAAUGCCACGACAGCGGCGGCCAGCGUCACUCCGCAGCGCAGUCACAAGGCCUGCGAGCAGCCGAGCACCUCGCAGCAGAGCGCAGCAGCGACGGCAAUGCCACUGCAGUAUAUGGCCGGCGUUAUGUAUCCGCAUCCGUCGCUCUUCUAUACGCAUCCAGCGGCAGCUGCUGCCACAGCCAUGAUGUACCAGCCGAUGCCGUUCUCCAGUGUCACCAAUACCCUGCAGCUGCCGGAUCGCUCCAGUGGCUCACAGUCCAGCUACACACAGCCUGGCUAUGCGGCACAACAGUCUCCACCUGCUUCGUCUUCCAAGACACCGGGCGCCUUCCAUUCCGUGACGCCAACACAUCAGCAGAAAGCCUCGUCGCAGGCGACAUCCGUUAAGGCGGAACCUGGUUCCAACUUGGCGCCAUCGGAUACGUCCAAAAAGGAUAUACACGACUCGCCGAUAGCCUCGGUCACCGGCGAAGGCUACUCCUCCGAUCAGCCCAGCAAUCCGACCAAUCUAAAGAAGUACACGGACAGCAAUGGCAACAGCGACGACAUGGAUGGCUCCAGUUUCUCCUCCUUCUACUCGUCCUUCAUCAAGACAACGGAUGGCUCCGAUAGCCCGCCCGAUAACGACAAGGAGACCAAACAUCGCAAGAUCAAGUCCGUCAUGCAGUCGGAUAACAAAAUCGUGGAGCAUCCGGAGGAGGAUCAAACCCAACACGGCGAUGGAUAGCAGAUGAAGGCACAGCUGCAGCUGUGCCCGUUGCUUAAAGCCAGUUGCAGCUUUUAAUCGAGCUGCACUUUUGGUCCGGUCCAGUCCAGAGUAGCCCAAAACGCCACGCUCAUUGAAUGUCCAAGCACUGCUUAGAGUUUUCCAUAUGCAUGUGUAACGCUCUAACUAGACUUGUGUUGGAUGAAGUCGAAGAUGCUUUCAGAUCUUGAGAUGCAAAGAAAUGUGCUCGACUGGGCUGAUACCCUGUGACCAAAUAUGUAAUCAGCUUUUGCUCAAAACACACUCACAUCCACAAACUAUCUAUAUACACAUAUAUAAAUUUUAUACUUAAGGCUGUGUUUGUUAACGUGGCUUCACACUACGGAACAGUUCCUAAGUAACUUUCCAUCUAAGAAUAUACAAAGUUUGACGGAGCUUAAAUAUACGCAAGGCUCUUACCUUAUAAAACCAAAUA